AACCCUAAGUCCCCUAGGUUGGGAUCACACUGACAAGUUGGAGAAUGCCUGGUUGAUGAAUCAGGAUCGUGUGAUCAGAGCGUGAUUAACAAUCAGAUUGUCCCUGGAUCAUCUUGACUGUAGAGGAUCGUUCUCAGCUAUUUUUCUCUGGCUGGGAUGGUCACACAGUUGUCUGAUAGGC